AAGGAGAGCGCGGCGAUGUACUGCGAGCUCACGGAGGUGAUGGUCGUGCUCUUGGACCGCUUCGCCGACCUGGGCACUCCUGCCUGCGUGCGCGUCCACUCCAUCUUCACCAGUACUGCUUGGAAUUUGGGUAUGCUGAGUUCACGCUUCACAGACAGAACUGCUUGGAAUUUGGGUAUGCUGAUAUUUUAGAGCUCCUAGACAUCUUGUUUCUUUUGCUGAUUCUGAGUUACAAGUUCCUAACUACAGGAUUCACGUUUUCUUUCCUUUAUUUAUAUGAAGAAUUAGUCUGAUGCUUGACUACUUUCUGUUAGAUAAUAAUAGCCCUGGAUGUAUGGUUAUUUUGAGACACACAACAUUUUUUCCGAGGCAUUGUGGUUAGAAUAUCCGAGCCUUUGAUUGGAUAAGAUGUGUUUGAGUGCCAAUGAGACAAAUCCUUCUCAAAAUAAGAGAAGCCUGAAAAUUUGAUGUUUUUGUUGUGUUCUUCCUUUUUUCUAGAGACAACAUCUCAUCACAAGCUGUGUAUUAUGAUGUAAUGUUCUGGAACCCCAGAUAUAUUUCUGUGAAGAAUACUGUUUUGUUUGUGAUGCACUUUGACAGUUUGACUUAGGGCUGGUUUGUAAAACCCGUCCAUGGUUUGGCAAGCACAAUAUUUGAUUAUUUUUUUUACCUCCAUGUUCAGAUGUCGGGACCUAAUAAAUCUCCAUUUAGUGGAGUGGCUGAUGAUUUGAAAGGAAGAGCAGGUUGCUACAAACAAGACUGGAACCAUGGAUUUCGUUCUGGUUUAAGGUUUGCACAACACCAUGUUGUAAUUGCUUGACAUGUCAUCAUUACUUAAUUAGCCUGUUGUGUUCACUGUGCUACAUGAAUUCUGUUGUCAGGAUACUGGCACCUACGCUCUACAUAUUCUUUGCAUCUACAGUCCCUGUUAUAGCCUUUGGGGAGCAAUUGAGCAAAGAUACAGGUUGGUUAUCCUGCUCUCACCGUCAGGAUGAAUAUUUGAUCUGGGGUUGCUGUCAUGACACACUGCACUUUCCGUCUACCCCUCUCUCUCCUGCUCAGUAAAAAAGAAAAAGGGGAAAUUAACAGCAUAUCAAGUGUUGUUUGAAACUGGGAAUAUGAAAAAAAUAAUAACAGUUUGGUCCAUUGAUUGCAAUUCAAAUUGUAGAAUAGAGUAUUAAAAAAGUAAAUCCUAAAUCCUUUUUCUUAGGCACAGUUUCUGACAAUUAAACUGACAUGUUUCAGAUAGUGCACUAACCACAGUUGAGACAUUAGCAUCAGCGGCUAUUUGUGGCAUCGUACAUUCAAUAAUAGGUGGACAACCACUAUUGAUCGUGGGUGUUGCAGAACCGACAAUUAUCAUGUACACUUAUAUCUACAAUUUUGCCAAAAAUCAGCCAAACCUGGGAGAAAAAAUGUUUCUGCCAUGGGCUGCCUGGUAAGGACUUAAAACUAUAAUAUAUCCUGCAUUAGUUUUUCAAUCACCCAACUAAAUGCUAAUUGUAUUUCCUUUUCAUUGGGCAUUUGAUAGGGUUUGCAUCUGGACAGCUGUUAUGCUGUUCCUCAUGGCAAUUUUCAACGUUGCAGCUAUUCUAAACAAAUUUACCAGGUUUGCAGGAGAACUUUUUGGAAUGUUAAUCACAGUUUUUUUAUGCAAGAGGCGAUAAAGGUAUGCAAUUUACAUCUGUUAAAUCUGAAUGAUUUAGUUUUAGCUGCUGAUCGCAUAAUAUGCCAUAUAUAGGGGAUGGUUGGUGAAUUCAGUGCCCCUGACGGUAGUAAUCAAAGUCAAUCAACAUUCCAGUUCCAGUGGCUAUAUAUUAAUGGUUUGCUUGGAUUUAUCUUUUCAAUGGGUGUACUAUAUACUGCAUUAGCUAGCAGGAGCGUAAGGUCAUCGCUAUAUGGCACUGGUUUGUCAUAUGGCACAUACGUACUUCCGUUUCCAUUAUGGUUAAUUCAACACAAUAAUUACUAAUGCUCCAGAUAAUACCUGCAGCAUGGCAAAGGAGCUUAAUUGCGGACUACGGUGUUCCACUGAUGGUGAUACUUUGGACAUCAUUGUCAUAUUCAUUGCCAAGCAGGAUCCCUUCAGGGGUCCCUAGGAGGCUCUUCACCCCACUUCCUUGGGAACCCAAGUCGCUCCAGCAUUGGACAGUAGCAAAAGUAAUUAGGCAGUUUGUUACAAUGACUUCAGGAUCUUCUGCUUUUUAUGACUUCCACUUUCUUCAUUGAUGGUCUUGCAGGAUCUGUUUUCAGUCCCUACAGUACAUAUAUUCCUGGCUAUUGUGCCUGCCACCAUGGUCGCAGGGCUCUCUUUCUUUGACCACAGUGUAGCUUCCCAGAUGAGUCAGCAGAAGUAAUUUAAUUUGAAGAACCCAUCAGCCUACCAUUAUGACAUUUUGGUCCUGAGCUUGACAGUAUGUCAUAUAUGCUGAUUUGUAGUUACCUCUUUGACAUAACAUCGUUUUAAAUUAGGGAUGUCACUUAAUAAAAAAACGUUUUACCAAUGAAUUCGCGCUGCUUGUUGGAACUGGAAAAACAUAAGAAAUUAAUGGUGGGACAUAGUAGUUAAGUAGCAUUUUCAUAAACAAACAUGAUAUCAGACUCUUUAUUAAUGUGUUUCUUGUUCUCAUACCAUGGAAAUGUGGUGUAGACCUUGAUCUGUGGUGUGGUCUUCUUGGCAUUCCUCCAUCUAAUGGAGUACUCCCCCAGUCUCCGAUGCAUACAAGAAGCCUAGCGGUCCUCAAGAGGCAGGUUGGUGUUCAGAUGCAUAGAUAGAUGUGGUCUGUUAUACAAUUAAAUUUGCUCACAUCUCCCCUCUCUAGCUCUCUUUCAUUUUAAAUAGUUGCUUUGCAAGAAGAUGGUCCAAACUGCCAAGGAGGGCAUGAUGAAUAAUGCUACCAGUUCCGAAGUUUAUGUCAAAAUGCAAGAUGUUUUCAUAAAAAUGGACCACGGAGGCGACGUGAGUACUAUAUCCACCAAACAUUUACACUAUCACAUGCCAUGUUCUUCUCACUACAUUACUAAAGCUCUGUUAGUUGUCGUGGUGGCUUAUCAAUUAUUUCAGAUGACAGAUGCUAGAGUUAGUUGAAGGAUUUUCAUAAAACUAUAACAGUGACUUAUUUCUAUUGUUUGUAAAAGGUAACUGCAUAGUGUCCCUAAAUUACAACAUUGUUCCAUUUUGUUUUGCUUUCUCUUUCAAAGGUUUUCUACUUUUGUUGCAAGUGUUGUAAUGUUACUGUCUGUGUCUGAUAUCAUUCCCCUACUAAUUGUUUCAGAAAUUUGCUCCAGAAAAUACUUAUGUAAGAAACAAAAAAAGAAAGAAAAUAUCGUUAACUACCCUGGAGGCACUAACAGUUCUCCUGUAAAUUUGUGCAGACUGUUUCUGCUCACAAAGAACUGAAGGACCUGAAGGAUGCAAUUAUUCCAGAAGGGAAUGGAUCAAGAACAGUGCCUGAAGUAUUUGAUCCUGAAAAGCAUGUAGAUGCUUACUUGCCUGUCCGGGUGAAUGAGCAGAGAGUAAGCAAUCUGUUGCAGUCCCUGUUGAUUACUGGUUGUAUUGGAGUUACACCGCUCAUUCAGAAGAUACCAACAUCAGUCCUCUGGGGUUACUUCGCCUAUAUGUCCAUCGACAGCCUUCCUGGAAACCAGUUCUGGGAGAGGAUACAGCUUCUUUUCAUCACGCCUCAAAGACGCUACAAGUAUGCCUUGUUAGCUAUAGUAAAUUUUCAUGUCUUGUCACCUUAGGUUACCUAUGAAGAAAGGACUUGUGUGCUCAACCAAGAGUUUUGAUCUAGGAAGCUAGACAUAGGAGUGCUCAUUUGUCUGUUUUAACUCUGGCAGGGUUCUUGAAGGAGCACAUGCAUCCUUCAUGGAGUCAGUGCCUUUCAACACAAUAUGCACCUUCACACUCUUCCAGCUAAUCUAUCUGUUGAUCGUCUUUGGGAUGACAUGGAUACCAGUAGCAGGAAUCCUCUUCCCACUGCUCUUCUUCUUCCUCAUUAUCAUCAGGUAGCACUUCAUCCCGAAAUAUUUUGAUCCGAGCCACCUGAGGGAAUUAGAUGCAGCCGAGUACGAAGAACUGAAAGGUUUUACACCUGAUCCAUCAGUGGUAAGAAGUCUUGAUCUACCUGGUUUUAUCGAUUUCCCGUUAGCAUAUACUAUUCAACAAAGGCUACUUCAUUCAUCUGUGUAUUGUUAACAUGCCCCUUCUCACGCAGUGUGAGGACGAGUCUGUUCGCAGCGGAGAUGCUCAGCCUGGAUAUGCUUCCGAAAUACUCGAGGAAUUCACGACUCACCGUGGAGAGCUGAAGCGCAGGAACUCUACCUUCCAUGAUGGGAGACUACUUCAGGUAACAUUUUCGCGCAAACAUUAGUGUCUCUGGUUUUCGUAAGAUUAAUUAAUUAAAGGUUUCCCGUUCAUUUCUGGAGUUGGAACUCAUUUCUGGAGUUGGAACUUGAUAUUUCCUUUAUUAUUUUGGUUUGGCAGCUUAACUCUGUCAAGAUGACGAGAGAGCUUUCUCGGGUUCCUUCUUGGCUUACAAGAAUCCUGGAAGAAUACGCGGUUUCUGAAUCCGAGCUCCAAUUAAGCAUGGGGGUGCGAAGUCUCAUAGCCUCAUUGCUUACAGAGUAUUCUCUGAAGCAAGCAACUCAUUUUAGGUACUGACUUUGGGGGCAAAUACACGGGGAUGAGCAGAGGAAUGUAGCAGAGCUAGAAAAUGUUUGUAAAAAAUAAAGACAAAAAGAAAUGCAUGUUAAACACAUCUAAGCUUCAAUUCAGUUUUGUGAUUUUUUAUUUUUUAUUUUUUAUUUUUGCAUAUUAUAGUGAUGUUUGUUGUUCCUUAUCUAUGUUUUAUACCAACUUUUUUUACUUCCGUUGCAACGCACGGGCACAUACCUAGUAUAUAUAUAUAUAUAGGUAACAAAGGAACUUCACACAUCGAAAUAGACGAGGACUUCCAUGAAGACUAAAUUUUGCAGAUAAAAAAAAGGCAUAUUUUCUGUAGUGCUCUUAACAUGCUUCUGCAGCCCCUUCAAAACCAGUACUUUUGGUUUACCUCCAUAAAGACUGAACAUUGCAGUUCAAAAUAACACAUAUUUUCUGUAGCGCUCAUUAGCUUGCUUUUCUGGCCUUUAAGACCAGCGUUUUUUGUUCGUAUAAAUGUAGGUACGCCUACUAUAAUAUAAUCUCCAAGAUCCUGAUGCUGCUACGUUUCCAAAAACUUCAAUCCUUCAUCACAUACACUUUUCUGGCCUUCAAUGCUUUUAUGUUCAUGCCUUAUCAAGCUGAGCUGCAAUUCUGUUGGUUGAAUCGUGAUGCCGGCAUGCCGCUAUGUUGUUGACUGUCCAGCUUUGCACCAAACCGUGAAAUGCUUUCGUUCAUAUUGAAAGUAUGUUCAUAAAAAUGUCAUGUCAUGUCAACCUCCGGUGCAGGGAUUUGGGUUACCCUCCUAUUUGACGCGUAUUAAUUCAACUGUUUACAUGUGUCGUUUGUAAAAACUGGCGAGAACCACGAGCCCUUUAAUAGUAAAAGAAAGGUUGGAGCACUCAAGAGACCAGUAAGAUGUGUAGAAAGAGAAAGUGGGCCGAAAAUGGAGGAAGUUGAGGGGAAAUCGAACUCAUUUUCACUGAAUUACCUAAAAUCCCAAAAAUUGUGAACAUUUAA